UUUGACCGUUCGUCUUAUUUGAAUUUUUUUGAUUAGUAUUUUUAUUGUUAUUAGAUGAUAAAAUAUGAAUAAUACUUUAUGUGUGACUAAUUUUUUUAUAAAUUUUUUGAAUAACAUGGACGGUCAAA
rnacentral:pre_miRNA from 1 species